UGGCGGCGUGCCUAAUACAUGCAAGUCGAACGGUCUUUCUAUGGAAGCUUGCUUCCACUGAGAAGAUAGUGGCGAACGGGUGAGUAACACGUGGGUAACCUGCCCAUAAGAGGGGGGAGUAACAUCCGGAAACGGGUGCUAAUACCGCAUAGUUUCUUGAUCGCAUGAUUGGAAAGGAAAGACGGCCUUUGUGCUGUCGCUUAUGGAUGGACCCGCGGCGUAUUAGUUAGUUGGUGAGGUAACGGCUCACCAAGACGAUGAUACGUAGCCGACCUGAGAGGGUGAUCGGCCACAUUGGGACUGAGACACGGCCCAAACUCCUACGGGAGGCAGCAGUAGGGAAUCUUCCGCAAUGGACGAAAGUCUGACGGAGCAACGCCGCGUGAGUGAAGAAAGGUUUUCGGAUCGUAAAACUCUGUUGUCAGAGAAGAACAAGUUGGAGAGUAACUGCUCCAGCCUUGACGGUAUCUGACCAGAAAGCCACGGCUAACUACGUGCCAGCCGCAGC
rnacentral:rRNA from 1 species